rnacentral:rRNA from 1 species
UAGGGAAUCUUCGGCAAUGGGGGGAACCCUGACCGAGCAACGCCGCGUGAGUGAAGCAGGUUUUCGGAUCGUAAAGCUCUGUUGUUAAGGAAGAACGAGUGUGAGAAUGGAAAGUUCAUACUGUGACGGUACUUAACCAGAAAGGGACGGCUAACUACGUGCCAGCAGCCGCGGUAAUACGUAGGUCCCGAGCGUUGUCCGGAUUUAUUGGGCGUAAAGCGAGCGCAGGCGGUUAGAUAAGUCUGAAGUUAAAGGCAGUGGCUCAACCAUUGUAGGCUUUGGAAACUGUUUAACUUGAGUGCAGAAGGGGAGAGUGGAAUUCCAUGUGUAGCGGUGAAAUGCGUAGAUAUAUGGAGGAACGCCGGUGGCGAAAGCGGCUCUCUGGUCUGUAACUGACGCUGAGGCUCGAAAGCGUGGGGAGCGAACAGG